AGAGUGAACGCUGGCGGUAGGCCUAACACAUGCAAGUCGAACGGCAGCACGGUAAGAGCUUGCUCUUAUGGGUGGCGAGUGGCGGACGGGUGAGGAAUACAUCGGAAUCUACCUUUUGGUGGGGGAUAACGUAGGGAAACUUACACUAAUACCGCAUACGCCCUUCGGGGGAAAGCCGGGACCAGCAAUGGCCUGGUGCUGAUAGAUGAGCCGAUGUCGGAUUAGC
rnacentral:rRNA from 1 species